GCCAAUCCCGUAGCUUAGUCGGCAGAACACCCGACUAUGGUUCGGUAAAACUCGGGUUCGAGCCCCGCUGAAGGCA